GCCUGAGUGGCUCAGUCAGUUGAGCAUCUGACUUCAGCUCAGGUCAUGAUCUUGCAGUCUGUGAGUUUGAGCCUGGCCUCGGGCU
rnacentral:tRNA from 1 species